rnacentral:lncRNA from 1 species
UGUUUUUGGUACUUGCAGUUCUUGUUAGUAUAGUUAGUACUUGCAGCUUGACGCAAGUACUAAAACCAAAUAAAGAAAUAAGCCUAGCAAGGUGAAAGUCCAAUUAGAGCAGUAAUAGGGUAGCAGCACCAUUUUUGGCCACUUCACCGUUAGUGGCCACCUAAACCAAUAAUCUAAUAUAAUAAGGUCCGAGUUUACCGCCUUUACGGAAAUCGGAAGAAUUUCGACUAUAUUCGUUCUAACACGAUGGCUCUACAAUUUGCGACUUAUUCUGAUUUACAGGUUAGUUUCUACUUAUUCUUGAAGUAGGUGACACUGUGUAUUAGACCUUCUGUUAACGAUAUACGUAAGAAAACAGAUAAUGGCACGGAGUAAAAAGAAAAUUGAAAUCAAGAAAAAAAAUAAUAAUGUACGACAACGACCAAAACGAACAUUUUUUCAAUACGAACCUCAGCAAGUAAAGAAUGCAUUGGAAGCUAUUCGAGGUGGAAU